UGGCAGGGAAUCUCUACUCUUAGGUAAGGGUAAAUUAUACCUUUCUAGAUGUGUCAUAUCACUCGUAAAAUUUCCUACUUUUCAUGAAUUUGUUAAUAACUCAGUUUUGGAUCAACCUUAUCCGCAAUUCGACUAAUUAUACUGGACUUUGCCGUGACAUAAAAUAGCCCCUGAUGGAAGACUUACCAGUUCUCUAACAAAGGCGACGCGAGGAGCGGGAGGAGGAGAAGAGUCGACUGGAGGAAGAGCAAAAGAAACGCGAGGAGGAACAAAGGAGACACGUGAGGAGGAACAAAGAUAUUGGAGUAUUUGGCCCCUCGUUAAGGACUAUAUAUGAAGAAGUUGGAUUUUUGCCGUGGAUUUUACCGUAAUCUAGUUUUCUCGCUGUUGAAAUUUUUUAUUAUUUUGCGCUCUAGGGUUUGGAUAUGUUAUGUUUGAUGCUACGUACACUUUUCAUGGUACGAUUUUUCGUUAUUUUGUAUUUUGUGAAAUUGGAUACCGUUUGUUAAAUAUUUGGUGAACACCUUUUAUUUAUGGAAGUUAUGAAUGAAUUGUUUUUGAAUUUCAAUA